UUUUGAAGCACAAAGCCAUUUUGUCGGUCUUUUUUGUAAAACAAAAACCCAAACAAUCUUUUAAAUGAAAAAUCAGAAGAUUUGGGGGGCAUUCCUGGAGAGCUGGAGACCUAGAGAACAAGAUUUCUUACACCCUACAGAUAGAGAUUACAUGUUUCUGUUCAUACCAGAACUACCUUACCUAUUGAAAAUAAUCAAGAGCACAAGCAGGGAAAGAAGUAUUCAACUGAGCCAAUGAAGAAAGUACACAUCAGCCGGAUGGGCUUCACAUCCAUUCCUUGCACCAGCAAUGCCCCUGUCUGAAACCCUGGAGAGCUGCUGCUGGUCAUAGGAGACAAUACUGAGCUAGGUGGACCAAAGGAGCAUGCUGUAUAAGCAAGCUUUUUGUGUAACUGUGCAGCUUCUUGUGUAAGUGUGCAACAAGGACUUGUGUUUUAUGUUGAACUGUUUUAACUUUUAUACGUGUUUGAAUUGUUGUUGGCCACCCAGAGAUGUAAGUUUGGACGGGGUAUAAAUUUGAUUGAUAGAUAGAUAGAUAGAUAGAUAGAUAGAUAGAUAGAUAGAUAGAUAGAAAUUUAGGGCCAGAACUAAAUGUCACAGCAGACACAUGGCUUCUGCCAAAAUAUCACAACAUUUCCUCCUCCUCUCUUUCUGCCCAUAUCUAAUAAUAAAAAAACCAUGUGAUGUGAUAUCA